rnacentral:misc_RNA from 1 species
GUUGGUGAACCUGCGAAAGGAUCAUUAACACGUAUCCAAACGGUAAAACCACCUGUGAACCUUCAACACCAAUAAGGGUCCUGCAAAUAGUUUGGGGCAACCCUGGUAAAUCAUUGUCUGAAUCAGAUUUUGAGUUAGAAGCUUCUUCGGUGAGCAGGGUUAGGUAUUUUACCGGCAGCUCUGAAGUGACAUCCACUGUUAUGAAAGUGUCGUGUAGUUGCGUAAGGAGUUGGCGCAGUCAACGAAUCAACGAGCCCCACGGCCCUGCGACCGGGACCCUUUGUGCGGGUAAAACGGCUCCAACCAGAUGAAAAUCUAGCAUGACGAGAGAAACGGCCGGCGGUAGGACAAAAAAACGAACAACUGUUAACAAUAGCUAUCUUGGUUCUC